rnacentral:rRNA from 1 species
UACGUAGGGUGCGAGCGUUGUCCGGAAUUACUGGGCGUAAAGAGCUCGUAGGCGGUUUGUCGCGUUGUUCGUGAAAACUCACAGCUUAACUGUGGGCGUGCGGGCGAUACGGGCAGACUGGAGUACUGCAGGGGAGACUGGAAUUCCUGGUGUAGCGGUGAAAUGCGCAGAUAUCGGGAGGAACACCAGUGGCGAAGGCGACUUCCUGGCCUGUACUUGACGCUGAGGCGCGAAAGCGAGGGGAGCAAACGGG